UACAGAGGGUGCAAGCGUUGUUCGGAAUUAUUGGGCGUAAAGAGCGUGUAGGCGGCCAGGUAGGUCUGGUGUGAAAACUCGAGGCUUAACCUCGAGAUGUCAUCGGAAACCAUCUGGCUAGAGUCCGGAAGAGGAGAGUGGAAUUCCUGGUGUAGCGGUGAAAUGCGUAGAUAUCAGGAGGAACACCUGCGGUGUAGACGGCUUACUGGACCAUAACUGACGCUGAGGCACGAAAGCGUGGGUAGCAAACAGG
rnacentral:rRNA from 1 species